CUAUCCGCAAAUCGUUCGUAGCGCUACAGCAUUCGUAAGCCUAUGAUGAACUAUAAGGUUACGACAGGUCGUAACGUUACGAACGAUUUGUGGAUCGGGACCCUGUAAUUCCACUGAACAUGCUGAGAACAUGUAUGUUGUUGAACAUUCAGUUUUGAUGAUAUCAUAGCCAAA